CGCGAAUGGCUCAUUAAAUCAGUUAUGGUUCAUUAGGUGAUUCCAAUCCUACUUGGAUAACUGUGGUAAUUCUAGAGCUAAUACAUGCCAGGAAGCUCCGACCUCACGGGACGAGCGCUUUUAUUAGACCAAGACCAAUCGGGCCUCGUGUCCGUUUCCUUUGGUGACUCUGAAUAACCUUUUGAAGAUCGCAAGGUCUCGAACCGGCGACGCACCUUUCAAAUGUCUGCCUUAUCAACUGUCGAUGGUAGGUCAUGUGCCUACCAUGGUUGUAACGGGUAACGGAGAAUCAGGGUUCGACUCCGGAGAGGGAGCCUGAGAAACGGCUGCCACAUCCAAGGAAGGCAGCAGGCACGCAAAUUACCCACUCCCGGCACGGGGAGGUAGUGACGAAAAAUAACGAUGCGGGACUCUUCCGAGGCCCCGUAAUCGGAAUGAGUACACUUUAAAUCCUUUAACGAGGAUCAAUUGGAGGGCAAGUCUGGUGCCAGCAGCCGCGGUAAUUCCAGCUCCAAUAGCGUAUACUAAAGUUGUUGCGGCUAAAAAGCUCGUAGUUGGAUUUCAGUCGUAGGUCGGUGGUCCACCGCCCGGUGGCUACUGCCUGGCCUAGGCACCUUGCCGGCUCUCCCACGAUUCUCUUCACUGGGUGUCGUGGGUGGCCGGAACGUUUACUUUGAAAAAAUUAGAGUGCUCUAAGCAGGCGCCGCAGCCUGAAUAACACAGCAUGGAAUAAUGGAACAGGACCUUGGGUCUGUUUUGUUGGUCUUACGCCGCCAAGGUAAUGAUUAAUAGGGACGGACGGGGGCAUUCGUAUUGCGACGCUAGAGGUGAAAU
rnacentral:rRNA from 1 species